UCCCGGAUCGUCUAACGGCAGGACGACGGCCUUUGGCGCCGUUAAUCGGGGUUCGAAUCCCUGUCCGGGAA
rnacentral:tRNA from 1 species